rnacentral:rRNA from 1 species
AAACCAACAGGGAUUGCCUUAGUAGCGGCGAGUGAAGCGGCAAUAGCUCAAAUUUGAAAUCUGCCAACAGGCCGAGUUGUAAUUUGAAGAAAGCAAUUCUGGAUGUGUCUUUGCUCAAGUUCCUUGGAACAGGACAUCAUGGAGGGUGAGAAUCCCGUGAUGCGAAGGUAGCAUGUCUAUGUAGAAUGUUUUCGACGAGUCGAGUUGUUUGGGAAUGCAGCUCAAAGUGGGUGGUAAAUUCCAUCUAAAGCUAAAUAUUGGCGAGAGACCGAUAGCGAACAAGUACUGUGAAGGAAAGAUGAAAAGAACUUUGAAAAGAGAGUGAAAAAGUACGUGAAAUUGUUGAAAUGGAAGGGCUUGAGAUUAGACAUGGUGUUUAGUGUUCCGCUUUCUUUUGGGAAUGUGUACUCGCUUUACACCGGGCCAGCAUCAGUUUUGAUGGGAGGAUAAAUGGUAUUGAAUGUGGCUGCUUGCAGUGUUAUAGCUUUAUCAAAUACUUCCAAUCGGGACUGAGGACCGCGCAUUGCUAGG